CGCAUAACAAUGGGAAAGGCGGGGAGAAGAGGCGGCUGCUUUCGUAUGUGUGGGAAAGUUUUGGCGACGAGGACGACGUGUAAAGCGUGAAAAAGGCAUUCCUGGAAAGUGCAAUUACAUCUUUUUUCUGAAAACAGGACGACCCCAACUGAGAUAGUGACUAGAGCAAAAAGCGCCGACAUUUGAGAUGGCGGGCGACGACCAGCUGAGCCACAAAGAGACGGGUGACGUCCGCCUUUUGGAAGGCUGAUUUGACCAACAUUUACCAAUUACAGGACUGCAGGAAUAAGGAAGAAAAGCUCUGACUCUUGGGGAGAAGUCGUUUGACGUCUGGAGAUCCGGGCUCUUGCUGUUUGUUGGAACAUCUGCAUGUGGGGUUCCUUUUUUUCCUGUGCUUGCGGGCGCCGUGAGGGGAUGGUGUAGGAACAGGACCAUUUUAAGAACCCCUGACUGACAGGGGCACCAAAAAAUAGGAUUGUGUCCGCGUGAUUGGGAUUUUUUUUAAACAAGUACAGUCAACAUAGAAAUAGAAGGAUGGACACAUGUCAGUCCAGUAUUUGUUGCCCGGUGGGAUACAUUGUGG